rnacentral:rRNA from 1 species
AUACGGAGGGUGCAAGCGUUAAUCGGAAUUACUGGGCGUAGAGAGUACGUAGGCGGCCUACUAAGUCAGAUGUGAAAGCCCAGGGCUCAACCUUGGAACUGCAUUUGAAACUGGUAGGCUAGAGUAGGGUAGAGGGGGGUAGAAUUUCUGGUGUAGCGGUGAAAUGCGUAGAUAUCAGAAGGAAUACCAGUGGCGAAGGCGGCCCCCUGGCCCAAUACUGACGCUGAGGUACGAAAGCGUGGGUAGCGAACGGGAUUAGAAACCCGGGUAGUCC